UACGGAGGGUGCAAGCGUUAUCCGGAUUCACUGGGGUUAAAGGGUGCGUAGGCGGCGCGGUAAGUCGGGUGUGAAAUCUCGGAGCUUAACUCCGAAACUGCAUUCGAUACUGCCGUGCUUGAGGACUGGAGAGGAGACUGGAAUUUACGGUGUAGCGGUGAAAUGCGUAGAUAUCGUAAGGAAGACCAGUGGCGAAGGCGGCUCACUGGCCCGGUACUGACGCUGAGGUACGAAAGCGUGGGGAGCAAACAGG
rnacentral:rRNA from 1 species